UUUCAAACAGACCACAGAACAUAGCCACACUAGGAAAUCUCCCCUGGAUGCCAAGGGAAAUGGACCAGAAAGCCUGACGCCUUGAGACCCUGGGAGGUCCAGAGUGUGUGUGAGAAUUUGGAGCAGAGGACAGAUGAGGUGGUGGAUAGAAAGUUGGAAUCAGGUUCAUAUCCUGCUGGUGACUAACUCUGUGAGGAAGAGACAAAACCAAUGGAUCCUCAGGUGGCAUAUAUGAUACGGAAUAUCACUGGCUUUUGGAUACUAUUACAUAUGUAUUGUUCAUUCACGUUUUUCAAAAUUAGAAAAAGACUAAAGAAAAACGCUUUUAUGUGGCACAUGCAUGGGAUCCUGUCAGUGACUUAUUCAAUGGAAGUGGGUGCUUGUAUUUGUUAUUUGUGGACAAAGCACAGUUGUCCAGGAUUUAUUCUAAAGGAGGAUUGGGUGAACUGGUGUUCUUGGAGUCUCAUUUUGACCAUAUACAUGCUCAUAAUAAUAAUUAUUUUGAAAUUUUUCGCUAAGUUUUUUUUCUUUUUUAUGAUAAUGCUCUUUUCAAUGAAUUUUGCCAAUAUUGAGGGCAUUAUCUUUUCAAUGCCUAUAUUAAGGUUACUUUUUGUAAGGUUUCUUCCCCUUAUUCUUUCAAAAAUGCACUCUGCUACUGGGAGAUAGGAGGCCCUGUCCCAGGCUUUCUGUGCAGCUCUGAGCCUUGGCUUUGAGCACAAAGGCCCCUCGUGUUUGCAGGGGGAAGCUUUGACUGCUCUGUUUAGGAAAUAGCCUGUUUCCCAGAGUUUGCUAUCUGAACUGGGACUGGAAGCUGACCUACUGAUUUGUUCUUAGACUGAGCCAGGGCUGAGCAUUUUCAGUGUGAUUUGCUUUCAUUAAGACCCUCUCACCAAAUUUUCCCACAGUCUAUCUGAGCUGGCCUGAACACACUUUUCAUCCCAAUCAGACUGACUUUUCUUGAACUUUUUUCCAGUCUAUGUUGAGCUGGAAAUUAGAUUCAUUCCAUUAGAUUCUAUUCAGAGGCUUGGUUUCAUGUGAUUUUCCAGGGAAACUGGGAGAACUGGAGCAGCUCCCUGAUUUUAUUC